rnacentral:misc_RNA from 1 species
UCCGGUUUGUCACCGGCGGUCUCCUUAGAGUUCCCACCAUUACGUGCUGGCAACUAAGGACAAGGGUUGCGCUCGUUGCGGGACUUAACCCAACAUCUCACGACACGAGCUGACGACAGCCAUGCAGCACCUGUCUCCGAUCCAGCCUAACUGAAGGAAUCCAUCUCUGGAAACCGCGAUCGGGAUGUCAAGGCCAGGUAAGGUUCUUCGCGUUGCGUCGAAUUAAACCACAUGCUCCACCGCUUGUGCGGGCCCCCGUCAAUUCAUUUGAGUUUUAACCUUGCGGCCGUACUCCCCAGGCGGUCAACUUAGUGCGUUAGCUGCGCCACUAAGGAUUCAAGAUCCCCAACGGCUAGUUGACAUCGUUUACGGCCAGGACUAC